GCGGGGUAUGGUGAAAUUGGUAGACACGCCAGAUUUAGGUUCUGGUGCCGCAAGGCGUGGGAGUUCAAGUCUCUCUACCCGCACCA
rnacentral:tRNA from 1 species